rnacentral:rRNA from 1 species
UGGGGAAUAUCGCACAAUGGGCGCAAGCCUGAUGCAGCCAUGCCGCGUGUAUGAAGAAGGCCUUCGGGUUGUAAAGCACUUUCAGCGGGGAGGAAGGCGUUAAGGUUAAUAACCUUGGCGAUUGACGUUACCCGCAGAAGAAGCACCGGCUAACUCCGUGCCAGCAGCCGCGGUAAUACGGAGGGUGCAAGCGUUAAUCGGAAUUACUGGGCGUAAAGCGCACGCAGGCGGUCUGUCAAGUCGGAUGUGAAAUCCCCGGGCUCAACCUGGGAACUGCAUUCGAAACUGGCAGGCUAGAGUCUUGUAGAGGGGGGUAGAAUUCCAGGUGUAGCGGUGAAAUGCGUAGAGAUCUGGAGGAAUACCGGUGGCGAAGGCGGCCCCCUGGACAAAGACUGACGCUCAGGUGCGAAAGCGUGGGGAGCAAACAGG